UCUCUCUCUCUCUCAAAAUAAAUAAACUUAAAAAAAAUAGAAAUCUUCCCUUCAGGUACACCUUUAUCAAUACAAAAAUACAUACGCACGUUGUUUGUCAUUGCAAAAUAUUGGAAAUCACCGGAGUGCCCCGGUGGAGGCCUUGAGUCAGCUACGGGACAAGCACGUGCUGGGCACCGAGGCAGCUACGAAAAAUGAUAGCAUUCUUCGGGGACUGAUAGGGUGUGACUUCCCGGACUAUGGAGAAGCAAAGGAAGCACAAGGUAGUAUCUGUAGGAUGCUACCUUUCACAUAAGAAAGAAGUGGGUGCGAGACCAGGCCAGAUCCGCCCCUGCCUUCUCAUUGUGUUUUCAUGGCUAUUUGAAUACUUUCCGCUUCCCCAUGCGUGCUCGUAGGUCCAAGCAGUGAGCGCCGCGUGGGGGGACAGCUUCCCGUGCUGCUCCCAGGGAAGAUGGAGAGGGCAGGACCCACAGGUGCUGUCCCUGCCCUGGCUUCCUGUGGUCCUGAGUGCAUCCCGUCGGCCCCCUCCCUCGGACUCGAUUUCCCCUUCUGUAAAAUGGGGGCUAAUGAAUCCCACACCGCUUGCCUCGCAGAGAGGAGGUGGGGUCAUCACAGUUCAUGUGUGUGCAAAGGGUUCUGCACGUUAUUUAUUAUUUACCCCCGGGGUCCACAGGUUGAUCUUUGGGCCUCAGAUAAGCCUUGGAUCCUCCCUUUCCAUUCCCUUGCCACACACACGCAUGCACACACACAGGCACAUACACACACACACACACACACACACACACACACACACCUCCAUUCUAUGCAGAGCCGCAGAACAUGCUGAGGUGGCUGCUUAGUUGGCUUUCACCUUGAUUAGUGAGGGUCCCACCCGCACGCACUCCAUCUGUGUGCCAGGUGUAGUGUAGGCCCUCUGCGGCCCCCGCCUCCCUCCCGCUCUGGGUCUGUUCUCUUGCCCCCAUCAGCCAGUUUGCACAUGCUGUCUCAUUUCGUCCUUUUAAUGACUCUGCGAAGAAGGUCUUAGAGGACCAAACCGGGGCUCAGGGAAGUGACAUGACCCACCCCAGCCUUCCAGCAAUUAUGUCAGAGCCUAGUCUGGGUGUUCCCCUAGUCUGGACUCCGCAUUCCGUGUUCCUUCCGGGAACCCACUCUGCAUCCACUGCCCAGGCUGGGAGCAGGUCUUCCCCCUGUGAACGUCCCUGGAUGUCCCCGUGAGAGCUGGCUGCGCAGUGAUGAUGUCUGAAGUGAUUACGUGGUGACGCUCGGGAGCACCGGAGCCGCUUUGCCAAAGGCAGAAGCCCCACCGGGGUGACAAUGGUCUCAGUAAAGAGCUGAUGUGCAGAACUGGGCUCUUCCUACCGGCCUGUCCCGGCCAGCACGCCAGCCUUGUCUCUCCAGCCUGUGCCAUUUUAAGGGUUGGUCCAAGAGGGUGCAUGCUCACGUGGGUACAUGAGGAGGAACAUUGGCAGCCCCAGGGGCACCUUGUCUGCAUGCCUCGGGCCCCUGCAGGUCGGGCAUAGUCUGAGGGGAAGGCGCCGAGGCAGGCCUAAGCCUCCACAGAGAGGGAGGGGGCCUCGGGCAGGCAGUGGAGGGCAUAAUUGCCGGAAGGUCAUGCUCCGAGCCCUGAGAACUCUGCUUACCAGUCAAUAAGUCGUUUAUUACACCCUUGACAGCGUCCUCCUCUGCCUCCGCCCUGAGCCCUGUGCAGUUUGCAGAGGGAAGGGCCUGGCCAGCUCAGGGUCUGGCCUCUCCAGGGAGAGGGGCCGCUGGAAGCCUGAAGUAACUCCCCCACCUCUCCAGCAUGGCCCACUGGACCAGAGUGCUCACCCAAGCCCCUGGCGGUGGUGGGGGAGGGGGUUGCGGAUCUCUGCUGAAAAGAGCUGGCUGAACAAGUUCCCAGGAGCUUGAGCCUGUCCACCUCACUGCCCUGGACUUCAUUUCCAAGGCUUCUCCUAGGGAACCCUAGUGCUUGUGGGGGAGGGCCAGCCUUCAGAGCUUCGCAGAAACCACAGCCCGGCAGACCUCGCGAAGGGGCCCGUGAGGGCCGUUUCUGGCUCUCCCGCCCACCACAUGCCAAGGUGGUGCCCAUUAUUGCUCACAGGCGAGGAGCACUUCGAGCAAAGAGCACCUUCGGUGGAAAUCUGAGCUUCUUCACAGCCCAGGAGGUCCUCAGGCACCUACUGCCACCUGGGAUGAUCAAACGAGCACGGACUCCCACGCUAGCUGGUUUAUUAUCUGUACUCUCCAGCAUGUAAAGUCCACGCAGGCAGGCCACAUAUGUCACCCUCACCCGGUAAUAUACCUGCAGGCCUGGAACAGUGCCUGGCACAGAGUGGGCCCUUGGUGAACAGGGGCUCGGUGAAUGAAUACGCAGGGUCGUGUGUGUGAA